rnacentral:rRNA from 1 species
AUUGAACGCUGGCGGCAGGCCUAACACAUGCAAGUCGAGCGGAGCGGCGGACGGGUGAGUAAUGCAUAGGAAGCUGCCUGGCAGUGGGGGAUAACGUCCGGCAAGGGGCGCUAAUACCGCACACUUUCAGACAAGCCUAGGUCGGAUGUGCUAGUUGGUGGGGUAAGGGCCAACCAAGGCGACGGUCCGUAGCUGGUCUGAGAGGAUGAUCAGUCACACUGGAACUGAGACACGGUCCAGACUCCUACGGGAGGCAGCAGUGGGGAAUAUUGCACAAUGGGCGAAAGCCUGAUGCAGCCAUGCCGCGUGUGUGAAGAAGGUCUUCGGAUUGUAAAGCACUUUAAGUGGGGAGGCGUUACCCGCAGAAUAAGCACCGGCUAACUCCGUGCCAGCAGCCGCGGUAAUAC